GGUGGGUAGUUUGACUGNGGCGUCUCCUCCUAAAGAGUAACUAUAA
rnacentral:rRNA from 1 species